GUCCUCCUACGGGACGCAGCAGUGGGGGAUAUUGCACAAUGGGGGAAACCCUGAUGCAGCGACGCCGCGUGGGUGAAGAAGCGCCUCGGCGCGUAAAGCCCUGUCAGCAGGGAAGAAAAUGACGGUACCUGAAGAAGAAGCCCCGGCUAACUCCGUGCCAGCAGCCGCGGUAAUACGGAGGGUGCGAGCGUUAAUCGGAAUUACUGGGCGUAAAGCGCUCGUAGGCGGUAUGUCAAGUCAAGGGUGAAAUCCCCGCGC
rnacentral:rRNA from 1 species